UACGAAGGGGGCUAGCGUUGCUCGGAAUGACUGGGCGUAAAGGGCGCGUAGGCGGCUCAUACAGUCAGAUGUGAAAUUCCUGGGCUUAACCUGGGGGCUGCAUUUGAUACGUGUGGGCUUGAGUGGGGAAGAGGGUCGUGGAAUUCCCAGUGUAGAGGUGAAAUUCGUAGAUAUUCGGAGGAACACCAGUGGCGAAGGCGGCUCACUGGUCCAUUACUGACGCUGAGGUGCGAAAGCGUGGGGGAGCAAACAGG
rnacentral:rRNA from 1 species